CCUUAGCUCCGCCGGAGCGGGAGUGGGGAAAGCCAGACGGAGGGGCAAGGGCUAGGUGCAGGGGGGUACUGACUAGCAUCCCAACUCUGCUCCCUACGCUUCUUUCCGUAUACCAAGGGAGGAGGAGGAGCCCCUGCCUCGUUGCGUUGUGGCGUGAGUCUUUGUGGCUUUCGGGUGUGAGGUUGGUGGCACACACUGGCCCGCAGUAAACACCCAAUUGAUGUGACCGGUCUAUGACUGUUAUUGCCACCUUCCGAAGGAGCCUUGCCAGCCACUCACUCCUCGCUUUCAGAUUCUUUCCCCUGCCUGAUUUCCUCCUCAGCUCGAAUCGCCAUCUAACACUUUAUUUUUACUUUCUGGCUUUUAUUUGUUUAUUUAUUUCUCGUUCUGCUGCCCAGGCUGUGGUGCAGUUGUGCGAUCCUGGCUCACUGCAGCCUACAGUUCCUGGGCUCAAGCGAUCCUCCCACCUCAGCCUCCCGAGUAGAGCUGGGCGCACCACCCCCGACUAAUUUUUUAAUUUUUGUAGAGACGAGGUCUCACUAUGAUGUUGCCCAGUCUGGUCUUGAACUCGUGGCCUCAAGCGAUCCUCCUUUCUCGACCUUCCAAAGUGCUGGGAUUACAGCGGUGAGCCACUGCACCCGGCCACUUUCUUGCUCUUUUGUUUUUUUUUUUGUUAUUUGCUUGUUUGUUUGUCUUUUAUUCACUGCAGUGGAUAAUGUUGGCACAUAGUAGUUGCUCAGUGAGUUCUCGUUGAAUGAAUGCGUGCAAUUGCAUUUUUAAUUUAUAUCUGCCGGGCCCUAUCUCGUCUGCUCCUGAUGCAAAUUGCCUUGUACAUUAUCAACCUUAAGAGAUCUAACUAAACAGCAUAGAACUUCUACGUUAUUUUGUAAAUACUUUGGAUAUUUAUGGAGUGCCAACUAGAUGCGCUGCCUACGCGGGGAGGUGGGGGGAAGGGCGUGGGAAGGAACGGAAAGGGGAAAAUGACACAUCACCCAGGGUUUAUCUUCCUGGGGACCUAUGCAGGACACCCUGAGGCUAAGGAUUGCCUCUUGGAUACACACCAAGGAGGGGAAAUGCCUAGGCUGUUCAACUUUACAGGAUGAACAAUUGUUUUCCAAAGCGUUUCCACCAAUCAUACUCCCACCAUGGAUCCACAUCCACUCCAAUUUGGUAUGAUUA
rnacentral:lncRNA from 10 species